AUGUUGAGAUGGAUGUGUGGCCACACGAGGAAGGAUCGAGUCCGGAAUGAUGAUAUACGAGAUAGAGUUGGGGUAGCACCAAUUGAGGAGAAGCUCGUCCAACAUCGUUUGAGAUGGUUUGGGCAUAUUCAGCGCAGGCCUCCAGAAGCUCCAGUGCAUAGCGGACGGCUAAAGCGUGCGGAGAAUGUCAAGAGAGGGCGGGGUCGUCCGAUUUUGACAUGGGAGGAGUCCGUUAAGAGAGACCUGAAGGAUUGGAGUAUCGACAAAGAGCAAGCUAUGGACAGGGGUGCGUGGAAGCUUGCUAUCCAUGUGCCAGAGCCAUGA
rnacentral:rRNA from 1 species